CGCGUGGUUCUAUUUUGUUGGUUUUUAGAACCGCCGUAAUGAUUAAUAGGGACAGUCGGGGGCAUCUGUAUUCAAUUGUCAGAGGUGAAAUUCUUGGAUCUAUUGAAGACAAACUACUGCGAAAGCAUUUGCCAAGGAUGUUUUCAUUGAUAAGGAACGAAAGUUAGGGGAUCGAAGACGAUCAGAUACCGUCGUAGUCUUAACUAUAAACUAUGCCGACUAGGGAUCGGACGAUGUUAUUUUUUGACUCGUUCGGCACCUUUCGAGAAAUCAAAGUGCUUGGGCUCCAGGGGGAGUAUGGUCGCAAGGCUGAAACUUAAAGAAAUUGACGGAAGGGCACCACCAGGGGUGGAACCUGCGGCUUAAUUUGACUCAACACGGGGAAACUCACCAGGUCCAGACACAGUGAGGAUUGACAGAUUGAUAGCUCUUUCUUGAUUCUGUGGGUGGUGGUGCAUGGCCGUUCUUAGUUGGUGGAGUGAUUUGUCUGCUUAAUUGCGAUAACGAACGAGACCUUAACCUGCUAAAUAGCCCGUAUUGCUUCGGCAGUACGCUGGCUUCUUAGAGGGACUAUCGGCUCAAGCCGAUGGAAGUUUGAGGCAAUAACAGGUCUGUGAUGCCCUUAGAUGUCCUGGCCGCACGCGCGUUACACUGACAAAGCCAGCGAGUAUUUCCUUAGCCGGAAGGCUUGGGUAAUCUUGUUAAACUUUGUCGUGC
rnacentral:rRNA from 1 species